AUUGAACGCUGGCGGCAGGCCUAACACAUGCAAGUCGAAUGGUAACACGAAACUGCUUGCUGUUUCGCUGAUGAGUGGCGGACGGGUGAGUAAUGUCUGGGAAGCUGCCUGAUGUAGGGGGAUAUCUACUGGAAACGGUAGCUAAUACCGCAUAACUUCUCAAGCCCAAUGAGGGUGACCUUCUUGCCUCUUGCCAUCAGAUGUGCCCAGAUGGUAUUCGUUUGUAGGUGGGGUAACGGUUCACCUAGGCGACGAGCGGUAGCUGGUCUGAGAGGAUGACAGGCGACACUGGAAGUGAGACACGGACCAGAGUCCUACGGGAGGCAGCAGAGGGGAAUAGGGGACAAUGGGGGGAAGCCUGAUGCAGUGAGGCCGCGUGUAUGAAGAAGGCGUUGGGGUUGUAAAGUAGGUUUAGCGGGGAGGAAGGGAGUAAAGUUAAGACGAAGGGUGAUUGACGUUAACCGGAGAAGAAGCACCGGCUAACUACGUG
rnacentral:rRNA from 1 species